UAAAGAGUUAUCUAAACACAGAUUUUUCCUUCUUCCCCUCCUCUGCGGCACUGUUGAGUGUUGAGGUCCAACUUCCUCCACUUUCACUCUACCCUUUCUUUGACGCUGAGGCCACCUUCUUCUUCCAUUCUACCUUCUCUUCGACGCCGAUACCACUCUUUCUCUUCUCUGCGCCGACGUCCGACUGCGGAGUCCAUCGUCUUGUCUCCUAAACGCCGACUGAUACCACUCUUCUCUGCGACGGCGACGCCAGUCUCUUCUCAUCGAUCUCGCUGCCUCUCCUCCAUUUCGCCGCUGCUCCUCCAGUUCGCCUUCUCUUAGUCGGUCUCUCUUCCUGGUUGAUAGAGGCCUUCGGCUAAAAUUUUAUUCUUCAGCCAACAGAAAACAAUUCACAAGCUUCUCACACAACACAUGAAUAUCUUACAUCCUUUUGCAUGCCUUCCUCUAUGCAAUGCCAUUGCAAGCACCAACCCUUUUCCCCAUAACAAUCAAAUCAUGAAAUUUUCAUUGGUUUCUCUACAAAGCUCUAGCUAUCCAAGAACUUGGACUCCCUUAUGCUGUUCUAGAGGUGGGUUUACAAACUUGAAUGGUGAGGACUUCAAUAUAGAUCUUAUUAAGGAAGAUCUUGCUGAUGAUGAUGGUAGUAGUGAGACUUUGGCUCAAGAAACAUAUGGAAGAAGGAAAACAAACGACAUUGAUUUAGAGGGGUUAAAAGAAGAUAAUGAUGUUGGUGGGUAUUAUGGCCAAGGACCAUUUACAGGUAGGCCAGAGAAAGAUCACGAGAGAGAUCCAGAAGUUGCUGAUAUUCUUGGGAGUUUACUAGAUGAUCCCCAAAAGGCUCAAUCCAAAAUGGAAGACAGAAUUAGGAAAAAAAGGAACAAAAUACUGCACACAAAGACGGGAUCAGGAGUACCAAUGAAAGUGUCCGUUAACAAAUUUGAUUUUUCAAACUCAUAUAUAUGGCUUGAAUUUUACAAUACACCACUGGAAAAAGACAUCUCCUUAAUAUGUGAUACUAUUCGAUCGUGGCAUAUUGUUGGACGUCUUGGUGGAUGCAAUUCGAUGAACAUGCAACUAUCACAAUCUCCGAUCACGAAACGGCCAAGUUAUGAUUUUAUUCAAGGAGCUAAUGUGACACCAACUACAUUUUACAACAUUGGGGAUCUUGAGGUUCAAGACAACUUGGCUCGAAUAUGGGUAGAUAUUGGAACCAGUGAACCGCUGCUUUUGGAUGUCUUGAUAAAUGCAUUAACACAGAUAAGUUCUGAUUUUGUUGGAAUCAAGCAAGUGGUCUUUGGUGGGGAAGAAUAUGAGAAUUGGAACGAGAAUAUGACAUCAGAGGAUUCAGGUUUUAGUGUUCACAAGAUCUAAACCCAAUUUGCUGCCAUAUUAUUUGAUAGAGGCAAGUGAAGAGGAAGUCAGGAAAUAUUGCAUCGUAUGUAUUUGACAAGCAGAACUCAACCAUUCAUGAAUAUCAAAUUAUCAAUGUCAAAGACGUGUGAUGGCGGCUCUGGGAUUUUGAUGGCUCUGGAAAUUCAACCAUUAAUGAAUAUCGAAGUCAAGAGAUGACAGUCGAGAUAACAGUUCUGUAACUUAAUUAUGGGAUUUGUUGUUACUAAGGUUAAUUAAUCAAAAUGAACUUGAUUUUGAUUUGAUGUAGUAGCUCUUAAUGAAAUAUUGGAAAAGUUUGACAGCGUUAAAGGUUCCGUGGAGCAGAUAAUGACUAGAGAGUAAAGACCCUUUCGGUAAGAUUUCUGGGAAUGUUACUACCAGCAAUCCAGAAUCCUCCUUUUUUUUUUUCUUUGAAAAUUUAUCCCUUUGUUUGGUUGAUACAUGAUUAUUGGAACAAUUAA